rnacentral:rRNA from 1 species
UGGGGAAUAUUGCACAAUGGGCGCAAGCCUGAUGCGGCCAUGCCGCGUGUAUGAAGAAGGCCUUCGGGUUGUAAAGUACUUUCAGCGGGGAGGAAGGGAGUAAAGUUAAUACCUUUGCUCAUUGACGUUACCCGCAGAAGAAGCACCGGCUAACUCCGUG